UGCAAGUCGCACGAGAAAGGGGCUUCGGCCCUGAGUAAAGUGGCGCACGGGUGAGUAACACGUGAAUCAUCUACCUUCGAGUGCGGAAUAACUGAGAGAAAUCUUAGCUAAUACCGCAUAAUACCUACGGGUCAAAGCAGCAAUGCGCUUGAAGAGGAGUUCGCGGCAGAUUAGUUAGUUGGCGGGGUAAUGGCCCACCAAGACGAUGAUCGGUAUCCGGCCUGAGAGGGCGCACGGACACGCUGGAACUGAAACACGGUCCAGACUCCUACGGGAGGCAGCAGUGGGGAAUUUUGCGCAAUGGGGGAAACCCUGACGCAGCAACGCCGCGUGGAGGAUGAAAUCCCUUGGGAUGUAAACUCCUUUCGAUGGGGAAGAUAAUGACGGUACCCAUAGAAGAAGCCCCGGCUAACUUCGUGCCAGCAGCCGCGGUAAUACGAGGGGGGCAAGCGUUGUUCGGAAUUAUUGGGCGUAAAGGGUGCGUAGGCGGUUUGACAAGUCUUAUGUGAAAUCUAUGGGCUCAACCCAUAGUCUGCAUGGGAAACUGUCGGGCUUGAGUAUUGGAGAGGUGAGUGGAAUUUCCGGUGUAGCGGUGAAAUGCGUAGAUAUCGGAAGGAACACCUGUGGCGAAAGCGGCUCACUGGACAAUAACUGACGCUGAUGCACGAAAG
rnacentral:rRNA from 1 species